GUCCACGCCCUAACGAUGAUUACUCGACAUUAGCGAUAUUACUGUUAGUGUCUAAGCGAAAGCAUUAAGUAAUCCACCUGGGAAGUACGACCGCAAGGUUGAAACUCAAAGUAAUUGGCGGGGUCCGCACAAGUGGUGGAGCAUGUGGUUUAAUUCGAUGAUACGCGAGGAACCUUACCUGGGCUAGAAUGCAUUUUGACCGUAGGUGAAAGCCUAUUUUGUAGCAAUACACAAUUUGUAAGGUGCUGCAUGGCUGUCGU
rnacentral:rRNA from 1 species